CCGGCGAGCUGGGGCUUCACGGAGCAUGGACUGUACAUUCUCAUCUUUUAUUUUUUCUUUAUCUUAUUUUUCGCCAAAUAAUUUCGAGAUAUUAACUGAAUCUAGAUCCUCCCAUGCUAGCUGAUCUUUCAGCUCCCCACUUUUAAGUUCCGCUCUCGCUUCCCCCUUGCUGCGUUUGCAAUAUUAUCUGCUAUCUUACUCCUAUCUAUCUUGAAUAAAACAUCUGUCUCAGGUACCAGAGGAAGGAAGGCCGUUCCGGCUUCAUACCAGCUUGCAUGGGCAAAACAUCAUUGACUUGGGCUCUUGUUCAACUUCAAUUCUACUCUUGAUGUGCGGUUCGCUUAACCCAAGUUUCCAUGGAAGAAAAAUAGAAAAGAAUUACAUAUCCCCUCUUCACGCAAGCC
rnacentral:sRNA from 1 species